UUGUGCCGAACCCGUAGAAUCGAACUUGUGGUCAAUUUAUCACAAGCUCGGAUGUACGGGCACGGGACGGGA